GGGGGGGGGGGAGCGGCCCCGGCCCCGGGCGGGAGGAACGGAGCGGAGCGGAGCGGAGCGGAGCAUCAUCCCCUCGGGCCCGGGGCCUCAGUGCUCCGACGGUCCGAUACAGCCCCGCCCUCAGCCCCCUAAGAUCCUGC
rnacentral:miRNA from 12 species